GUGGCCCCAGCAGUUACGCAAUGCGGGGAGGGCUAUAUUUGGACUUGACCGCACAUGGGCCGGGUCCUGACAGGAUGGGGGCGGGCGGCUGCAGCGAGCGCGGCGCUCCUACGGGACAGGGUGGGAAGCUCUCCUGGGACUUGAGUGGGCCGACUUUAGCUCUGUGUCCUGCCUCCUCUCAUCCGGGGGCAACCUGAGGCGCAGCGGCUGGGGUGAGGGCUCCUGAGGAGGGGCCGCUUCCUUGUCAGCCUCCCCCGGGCAGCGCCGUGCAGCGGGCCAGGCAGGGAGCCGCAUGGAAAGAGUCUCCUGGGCUCUGAUUUGUGGACAACAGGCUGCCCCAUUCCCUCCUCACGGAGCUGGGGUUAUAGCCAAGGAGCGCUGAAAGAGACCUGCACACCGUGAGGAAAAGCAGGCUCCAAAUCAUUAAAACUACUCUUGUGCAGGAGCUGUGCCACUGCUCUGUCUCUAACUGAUUUUUCACGUAAAGUACCAACAACAAAUCCUAGACCUAACUGCUGUCUUGCAAUGAUGUUGCCAAUCUUUUACCUGUUGCAGGCACAAGCUUCUGGACAGAGGUUGCAGUGAAACAAGAUGGAAUCUAUUUACUUCACUGGAGUGCAUUUGCCAGGGGUUCUCAACACCUCUAGCCUGAAACUGAGAUGUCAGAGCAUCAAGGGGGAAAUACACCAAUCAAGCACUCUGUUCAUCCAAGAAACUUUAUACAACUAAGAGUAUAAGAAAAGGAGCUGCUGGAAAUGUGUUCUCAGAGAGUGAAAUAACAGCAAUAUUGUAACCUGCAUCCAGCUAAUAACCCUCAGCAACGGAUCCACAACCCUGAAGGCUGUAGAGAUUGAAACCGCUUCCCACUUGUAUCAGUCAGAGGCACUAUUGCAGCUAAAAUACAUUGGACUUUAUUGAUAGCUCAUUUAUUUGAAUAUUUGGAAGGAGUC